CCUACGAGUGGCAGCAGUGGGGAAUAUUGGGCAAUGGGCGCAAGCCUGACCCAGCAACGCCGCGUGAAGGAAGAAGGCUUUCGGGUUGUAAACUUCUGUUCUGAGGGACGAAGAAAGUGACUGUACCUCAGGAAUAAGCCACGGCUAACUACGUGCCAGCAGCCGCGGUAAUACGUAGGUGGCAAGCGUUAUCCGGAUUUAUUGGGUGCAAUGGGCGGGUAGGCGGGAAAGAAAGUCAGAUGUGAAAACUCAGGUCUCAACCCUGGGCCUGCAUUUGAAACUGUUUUGCUUGAGUGCUGGAGAGGCGAUCGGAAUUCCGUGUGUAGCGGUGAAAUGCGUAGAGAUACGGAGGAACACCAGUGGCGAAGGCGGAUUGCUGGACAGUAACUGACGCUGAGGCGCGAAAGCGUGGGGAGCAAACAGGAUUAGAUACCCGGGUAGUC
rnacentral:rRNA from 1 species